UGUGACUGCAAAUGCUAAUGCCCUGCAA
rnacentral:piRNA from 1 species